rnacentral:hammerhead_ribozyme from 1 species
GUACUGAUGAAGAGUCCCAAACUAGGAUGAAACAGCUGUCCAGUAA